rnacentral:antisense_RNA from 1 species
GUACCUUUCUUAAUUUGAGUACAACUCUUUUCUCUAUCUAAUGAAUUACUAAAGACUGUCAAAGAAUUACACAUCAUCGAAGAAACUCUAGUUAAUAUGGAUGACCAUAACUCUUCUGAAACUAAGCUUGCAUCUGAAAACCCCAGAUUUAAUAUUGAACCUGUAGUAUAAAUAUCAACAGGAGGUUCUCCCCAGUUAACUGUUCUCCACAUUCCUUGUGUUGAAACUACUAACAAAUCGUCAAGUAAAGGAAUCUGCAAUAAUCCCAAAAGUUCAUUUGGAAUAAACUUAUCAUCUUUAUUGGUCAAAUUAUUAUCUACUUCUAUCUCCAACUCGUAUCCUAAA